CCCGGGUUGCAUGGCACUCAUCAGUGAACAGGACUGUCUGAAAAUUAGUCUUCAUGUAUUUUUAUGCCCAAUGCAGCAGUUUCUGCUUGUGAGCAUUGGUUAGUGGUGCCCAAAUAGAAGGUUUAUGCACAGUUGCGAGACUCUGGAUGACUCUACACCUUGAUGUCCGUGGAACUCCAGAGGCACCAGCAGCUUCAAAUAUUUGUUUGCUGCUAUGUAAUGGUAUUUUAGCAGCUGCACUCUUAAUUCGAUGAAAGAGUCAUUGUUAACAGCACCAUAACAGUUAAACAAAAAUGAAUGUGCUCUCUCAUCUUUGCCCAUAUUGCAUUCCAUAAGUUCAUCCUUCAGG